AUUGAACGCUGGCGGCAUGCCUUACACAUGCAAGUCGAACGGCAGCACGGGGCAACCUGGUGGCGAGUGGCGAACGGGUGAGUAAUGCAUCGGAACGUACCUUUCAGUGGGGGAUAACGUAGCGAAAGUUACGCUAAUACCGCAUAUUCUGUGAGCAGGAAAGCAGGGGAUCGCAAGACCUUGCGCUGAUUGAGCGGCCGAUGUCAGAUUAGCUAGUUGGUGAGGUAAAGGCUCACCAAGGCGACGAUCUGUAGCGGGUCUGAGAGGAUGAUACGCCACACUGGACCGGAGACACGGUCCAGACUCCUACGGGAGGCAGCAGUGGGGAAUUUUGGACAAGGGGGGCAACCCUGAUCCAGCCAUGCCGCGUGGGUGAAGAAGGCCUUCGGGUUGUAAAGCUCUUUCGGCCGGGAAGAAAUCGCACGGGCUAAUACCCUGUGUGGAUGACGGUACCGGAAUAAGAAGCACCGGCUAACUACGUGCCAGCAGCCGCGGUAAGAC
rnacentral:rRNA from 1 species